GGUGGAGUGGCUGAGCGGCCCAAAGCAACAGCCUGCAAAGCUGUCAACCCACGGGUUCAAAUCCCGUCUCCACCUCCA
rnacentral:tRNA from 2 species